rnacentral:rRNA from 1 species
UAGUCAUAUGCUUGUCUCAAAGAUUAAGCCAUGCAUGUCUAAGUUCAAACGACUUCUGAACAGUGAAACUGCGAAUGGCUCAUUACAACAGUUAUAAUUUAUUUGAUCGUUCCUUUACUACUUGGAUAACCGUGGUAAUUCUAGAGCUAAUACAUGCAAAAAGCUCCGACUUCUGGAAGGAGUGUAUUUAUUAGAUAAAAAACCAAUGCAGGCAACUGCUUCACUUGGUGAUUCAUAAUAACUGCUCGAAUUGUAUGGCUUUACGCUGACAAUGGUU